rnacentral:rRNA from 1 species
ACGUAGGGUGCGAGCGUUAAUCGGAAUUACUGGGCGUAAAGCGUGCGCAGGCUGUUUGGUAAGUCAGAUGUGAAAUCCCCGAGCUCAACUUGGGAACUGCGUUUGAAACUACCAGACUAGAAUAUGUCAGAGGGGGGUAGAAUUCCACGUGUAGCAGUGAAAUGCGUAGAGAUGUGGACGGAAUGACCGAGUGGCGAAGGCCCAGGCCCCCAUGGGAUUAAUAUUGAC